UACGUAGGGGGCAAGCGUUGUCCGGAUUUAUUGGGCGUAAAGGGCUCGUAGGCGGUCUGUUGCGUCGGGAGUGAAAACUUACAGCUUAACUGUGAGCGUGCUUCCGAUACGGGCAGACUUGAGGUAUUCAGGGGAGAACGGAAUUCCUGGUGUAGCGGUGAAAUGCGCAGAUAUCAGGAGGAACACCGGUGGCGAAGGCGGUUCUCUGGGAAUAUCCUGACGCUGAGGAGCGAAAGUGUGGGGAGCGAACAGG
rnacentral:rRNA from 1 species